rnacentral:rRNA from 1 species
AAUCAAUCAAUAAAGGACAUAUGGUGGAGAUCUAGGGACCUAGAGCCGAUGAAGGGCGUGACAACCGACGAAAUGCUUCGGGGAGUAGGACGUAUACGUUGAUCCGGAGAUUCCCGAAUAGGGCAACCUUAAACAUUCCUUCUUGAAUUCAUAGAGAAGAGAAAGUCAACUCAGUGAACUGAAACAUCUUAGUAGCUGAAGGAAAAGAAAGCAAAAGCGAUUCCCAAAGUAGCGGCGAGCGAAAUGGGACCAGUCUAAAAGAGAAAAACGUUAAGUUUUUGUCAGGUUAUGGGACCAAACACCAAGGUAGAACAUUACAUGAGAAACGAAACAGCUGAAACCUGUACCAUAGAUGGUGAAAGUCCAGUCGUUGAAUCGUGUUCUUUUACCGUUUGGCUCCCGAGUAGUAUGGGACACGUGAAAUCCCGUAUGAAUUCGCGAGGACCACCUCGUAAGACUAAAUACUCCUAGGUCACCGAUAGCGAAAAGUACCGCGAGGGAAAGAUGAAAAGAACCAUUUUAAAUGGAGUGAAAUAGAACAUGAAACCGUAUGUUUACAAUUAGUGGGAGGAUGAACACAUCUGACCGCAUGCCUGUUGAAGAAUGAUCUGGCGACUUAGGAGACGUGGCAGGUUAAGAUAUUUAAUCGAAGCCAAAGCGAAAGCAUGUCUGAAUAGGGCAACACGUCCCGUCUUCUAGACCCGAACCCAGGUGAUCUAACCACGACCAGAAUGAAGCUUUGGUGAUACGAAGUGGAGGUUCGAACCGACCGAUGUUGAAAAAUCGACGGAUGAGUUAUGGUUAGGGGUGAAAUGCCAAUCGAACUUGGAGCUAGCUGGUUCUCCUCGAAAUGCGUUGAGGCGCAGCGGUAUAUUAUGAACUUUCCGGGGGUAAAGCUCUGUUUAGGUGCGGGCUGCGAAAGCGGUACCAAUCUUUUGCAAACUAAGAAUACCGGAAAUGAUUUCAAUCUACCAGUGAGACUGCGGGGGACAAGCUUCGUAGUCAAGAGGGAAACAGCCCAGACCACCAGCUAAGGCUCCUAAAUAAAAACUAAGUGGCAAAGGAGGUGAAAAUGCAGUGACAAUCAGGAGGUUUGCCUAGAAGCAGCCAUCCUCUAAGGAGUGCGUAAUAGCUCACUGAUCAAGCGUUUUUGCGCCGAAAAUGACCGGAACUAAGUUUUUUGCCGAAGCUGUGGAUAUAGACACUUAAAGUGCUAUGUGGUAGAGGAGCGUUCCGCAUGGGGGGAAGCCAAGCGCGUAAGCAGCGGUGGACAGUGCGGAAGUGAGAAUGUCAGAUUGAGUAACGAAAACAUUGGUGAGAAUCCAAUGCCCCGAAAACUUAAGGGUUCCUCUGCAAGGCUCGUCCGCAGAGGGUUAGUCAGGACCUAACAUGAGGCCGAAAGGCGUAAUGGAUGGCAAGAAGGUUUAUAUUCCUUCACUAUUGUUUUCUUAGUCCUGAGGGACGAACAAAUGCACACCUUUUUUGUGUCCAGGCUUGGCAGCUUGGAAGUCACACACUAAUGGUUGGACAUUUUUUCCAAGAAAAGCUCAUUCGACUUUGAGAAAACAAUACCUGUACCGUAAACCGACACAGGUGAGUGGGUUGAAUAAACUAAGGGGAGCGAGAUAACUCUCUCUAAGGAACUCGGCAAAUUGGCUCUGUACCUUCGGAAGAAAGAGUGCCCUGUAAAGGCCGCAGUGAAGAGAUCCAGGCGACUGUUUACCAAAAACACAGGUCUCCGCAAAGUCGCAAGACRRAGUAUGGGGGCUGACACCUGCCCAGUGCCAGAAGGUUAAAGAAGUUGGUCAAUCUUCGGAUGAAGCUGACAACUGAAGCCCUGGUGAACGGCGGCAGUAACUAUAACUGUCCUAAGGUAGCGAAAUUCCUUGUCGGGUAAGUUCCGACCCGCACGAAAGGUGUAACGAUCUGGAUACUGUCUCAGAGAGAGACUCGGUGAAAUAAAAAUAUCUGUGAAGAUGCGGAUUACCUGCACACGGACAGAAAGACCCUAUGAAGCUUUACUGUAACCUGGAAUUGCUCUCAAGCUUAU